GACGAACGCUGGCGGCGUGCUUAACACAUGCAAGUCGAACGCUGAAGCUCAGCUUUUGUUGGGUGGAUGAGUGGCGAACGGGUGAGUAACACGUGAGUAACCUGCCCCCUUCUUUGGGAUAACGCCCGGAAACGGGUGCUAAUACUGGAUAUUCACUGGUCUUCGCAUGGGGGUUGGUGGAAAGGGUUUUUCUGGUGGGGGAUGGGCUCGCGGCCUAUCAGCUUGUUGGUGGGGUGAUGGCCUACCAAGGCUUUGACGGGUAGCCGGCCUGAGAGGGUGACCGGUCACAUUGGGACUGAGAUACGGCCCAGACUCCUACGGGAGGCAGCAGUGGGGAAUAUUGCACAAUGGGCGCAAGCCUGAUGCAGCGACGCCGCGUGAGGGAUGGAGGCCUUCGGGUUGUGAACCUCUUUCGCUCAUGGUCAAGCCGCAACAGUGGUUGUGGUGAGGGUAGUGGGUAAAGAAGCGCCGGCUAACUACGUG
rnacentral:rRNA from 1 species